rnacentral:rRNA from 1 species
UACAGAGGGGGCAAGCGUUGUUCGGAAUUACUGGGCGUAAAGGGCGCGUAGGCGGCCUGUUAAGUCGAACGUGAAAUCCCCGGGCUCAACCCGGGAACUGCGUCCGAGACUGGCAGGCUCGAAUCCGGGAGAGGGAUGUGGAAUUCCAGGUGUAGCGGUGAAAUGCGUAGAUAUCUGGAGGAACACCGGUGGCGAAGGCGGGUCUCUGGGCAGUAACUGACGCUGAGGAGCGAAAGCGUGGGGAGCGAACAGG